rnacentral:rRNA from 1 species
GUCGAACGCUUCUUUUUCCACCGGAGCUUGCUCCACCGGAAAAAGAGGAGUGGCGAACGGGUGAGUAACACGUGGGUAACCUGCCCAUCAGAAGGGGAUAACACUUGGAAACAGGUGCUAAUACCGUAUAACAAUCAAAACCGCAUGGUUUUGAUUUGAAAGGCGCUUUCGGGUGUCGCUGAUGGAUGGACCCGCGGUGCAUUAGCUAGUUGGUGAGGUAACGGCUCACCAAGGCCACGAUGCAUAGCCGACCUGAGAGGGUGAUCGGCCACAUUGGGACUGAGACACGGCCCAAACUCCUACGGGAGGCAGCAGUAGGGAAUCUUCGGCAAUGGACGAAAGUCUGACCGAGCAACGCCGCGUGAGUGAAGAAGGUUUUCGGAUCGUAAAACUCUGUUGUUAGAGAAGAACAAGGAUGAGAGUAACUGUUCAUCCCUUGACGGUAUCUAACCAGAAAGCCACGGCUAACUACGUGCCAGCAGCCGCGGUAAUACGUAGGUGGCAAGCGUUGUCCGGAUUUAUUGGGCGUAAAGCGAGCGCAGGCGGUUUCUUAAGUCUGAUGUGAAAGCCCCCGGCUCAACCGGGGAGGGUCAUUGGAAACUGGGAGACUUGAGUGCAGAAGAGGAGAGUGGAAUUCCCAUGUGUAGCGGUGAAAUGCGUAGAUAUAUGGAGGAACACCAGUGGCGAAGGCGGCUCUCUGGUCUGUAACUGACGCUGAGGCUCGAAAGCGUGGGGGAGCAAACAGGAUUAGAUACCC